UACGGGGGGGGCAAGCGUUGUUCGGAAUUACUGGGCGUAAAGGGCUCGUAGGCGGCCAACUAAGUCCGACGUGAAAUCCCCAGGCUUAACCUGGGAACUGCGUCGGAUACUGGAUGGCUUGAAUUCGGGAGAGGGAUGCAGAAUUCCAGGUGUAGCGGUGAAAUGCGUAGAUAUCUGGGGGAAUACCGGUGGCGAAGGCGGCAUCCUGGACCGACAUUGACGCUGAUGAGCGAAAGCUAGGGGAGCAAACGGG
rnacentral:rRNA from 1 species